AUACCUUUCUCGGCCUUUUGGCUAAGAUCAAGUGUAGUAUCUCUUCUUAUCAGUUUAAUAUCUGAUAUGUGAGCCAAUGGCUCACACGAUAUUAAAUUAAUUUUUUAUGGGUGAAGGUCCAUUUCAGUAGCUAGCUAUUGGGGCCUUCAGUGUCGCUCAAGCGUUGCACUACUGCUUGGGCUUGGCGCAGCCCAC